CCCCACGUCCCCAGCCCUGAAACAGGAUCGUCUGUUGAAAGACACUCUCCUUCAGAUUUACUCAGUGUCUUCAUCAGCCUCCAAAAGUGAGAGAGCAAGCGGGGAGCUCCAGAUUCCAAGGAAGGAAGAGAUCAAGAUGGCAUGGAGUAACUAGUCCGUUUUCUUUGUGAAACGUAUUUUUAGAGCUGGACUCUGAAUGUGAAAGCAGGCAGCCUCCUCCUGGACCUGGAAGGGCUUCUCUGUGAGCAUGAAGAGAUGCAGAAGGAGCUGUGUGGACGGGAGGGUGGAGAGCACCCCGCAUUUCAGCUACACCUGUAGAACCGUUGCUCUUGGAGCCUUCCCACCACUUUGUGAGAGAGCCCAGGACAGGAGGAUAAGCCACGUGGAGUCGUUGCAGCCAACCGGCCCAGCCAAGGUGCCAGCUGCUAGCCAGCAUCAUCUCCAGAUGUGGGAGAACAGCCCUGGUGAUCCAGCCACCUACCCGUGAGCUGCCCCAGUGACGCUGAGUGGAGCAGAGAUGGGCUGUCCCCCCUGAGCCCUGCCCAAGCUGGAAAUUCAUGUGCAAAACCAAGUGAUUAUUAUUCCUUAAAGAUAUUGUUUGGUGGCUGGUUUUUAUACAGCAAAAGAUAACUGGAACAUUCUC